AUUGAACGCUGGCGGCAGGCCUAACACAUGCAAGUCGAACGAGAGGCGGACGGGUGAGUGAUGUAUGGGAAAGUGGCUGAGGGAGGCAGAUACCUACGGGAAACGGUGGCUACAACUGCUUAAGAUCAGAUGUGCCCAGAUGGGAUUAGCUAGUUGGGGGGGUAACGGCUAACAAAGGCGACGAGGCCUAGCUGGUCUGAGAGGAUGACCAGCCACACUGGAACUGAGACACGGGCCAGACUCCUACGGGAGGCAGAAGUGGGGAAUAUUGCACAAUGGGCGCAAGUCUGAUGCAGCCACGCCGCGUGUGUGAAGAAGGCCUUCGGAUCGUAAAGUACUGUCAGCGGGGAGGCGUUACCUACCGAAGAAGCCACGGCUAACUCCGUGCCAGCAGCCGCGGUAAUUC
rnacentral:rRNA from 1 species